rnacentral:lncRNA from 1 species
CUGGAGGGCCCAAGUGUAUGGAUAGGAAAACCUACAUCAAACCUAGUGUAUGUCCUAAAUGGUGGUCUAGGAGUGGGCUGGAGUGGUUGAGAGGUCUGAGAAGGCUGAGCAUGGUGGGUUGGCGGGCUCUAUUGUGAAGAAGAUCUAGCUAGUGAGCUCUAUCGACCACGACCUUCGGUGGCAGCUGCUGUGAUGGCUCCAAGUGCGAUACUCUGCAGCUACACCACUA